rnacentral:lncRNA from 1 species
GAAAGUAGCGCAUCGAGGCAGCUAUCCUGGAAAAGUUCGGUGUAUCCCGUUGCCAUUUUUCUUAUAAGAUGUUGUUUUUGAAUCAACAUUCUGACGUCACAGCUCAUACAUCAAGUAUAGAGUUGUGACGUAAGAAUAGCAUGACGUAUGAUGUAUUUUAUUAAUCUCAUUCAAAUAUAAUUUAAAUUAUCAUCCAUUCAAUUCUACUUACUUCAUUCUUUAAUAAUUACGAGCAUUUAAUUUUAUAAUAGUUUCAUUACUUAAAGCCUAUAAGUUAUGAAACUGUUAUAAAAUUUAUAAUUUAUGAAGUUAUAGGGAAGGACUUCAGAUUUUUUUUUAUUAUUCAACUUACAUUCAUUUUUUUAUUAUGGGUGGAUGCUCUAUGCACGGAGGUUUGAGCUGAAUUGGAUCCAAAUACAAAAAAAAUAAUGGAAAUAUACAGUUCUUUAGGUUUCCCUUUCCAAAAAUUGCAAGAGAACUAACGAGAAGAAGACAAUGGUUAUCUAAUAUGUUGAUUGUAUCUUCCCCUAUAAGCUCCAUUAAGCUGGAACUGUAUAAAAAUUCUAAAUACCAUUGAAAAUGUAGAGGAUAAUUUUCAAAC